UACGGAGGGGGCUAGCGUUGUUCGGAAUUACUGGGCGUAAAGCGCGCGUAGGCGGCUUUGUAAGUUAGAGGUGAAAGCCCGGGGCUCAACUCCGGAAUUGCCUUUAAAACUGCAUCGCUAGAAUUGUGGAGAGGUAAGUGGAAUUCCGAGUGUAGAGGUGAAAUUCGUAGAUAUUCGGAAGAACACCAGUGGCGAAGGCGACUUACUGGACACAUAUUGACGCUGAGGUGCGAAAGCGUGGGGAGCAAACAGG
rnacentral:rRNA from 1 species